GCGGGCGCGCGCGCGAGGGAGCACUCAGUGCUUCCUCUUCACCUCCCUCGCGCGCCGCAUAGGGAUGCCGGUGCCGGAAGAUGACGUCAUCUUCCGGCUCCGGUAUCAGUGCGGUGCGCGAGGGAGGUGAAGAGACUCACUAACACACACACACACUCAAUAAGACACACACACUAACACUCACUAGCAGACACACACACUAACACUCACUCUAAGACUCACUCUAAGACACACUCUAACACACUCACUAACACUCAAACACUCACACACACUAACACUCACUCUAAC